GGGUCAGUAGGUUGGUCGUGCCACCGGUACGUACUGGUCUCACUGAUUCCUCCUUCCUGAAGAACCGUAAUGUCAUUAAUUUGGUGUUGCGGGGAAACAGGACUGUUACUUUGAAAAAAUUAGAGUGUUUAAAGCAAGCUAACGCUUGAAUACAUUAGCAUGGAAUAAUGAAAUAGGACGAUCGAUCCUAUUUUGUUGGUUUCUAGGAUUGACGUA
rnacentral:rRNA from 1 species